AUCCGAUAUAGUGUAACGGCUAUCACAUCACGCUUUCACCGUGGAGACCGGGGUUCGACUCCCCGUAUCGGAGUAUGUUUAUUUUAUUUUUUUCAUAUCCGCUC
rnacentral:tRNA from 1 species